GGGGAAUUUUCCGGCAAUGGGCGAAAGCCUGACGGAGCAAUGCCGCGUGGAGGAUGAAAGCCUGUGGGUCGUAAACUCCUUUUCUCAGAGAAGAAGAUCUGACGGUAUUUGAGGAAUAAGCCACGGCUAAUUCCGUGCCAGCAGCCGCGGUAAUACGGGAGUGGCAAGCGUUAUCCGGAAUUAUUGGGCGUAAAGCGUCCGCAGGCGGUCUUGUAAGUCUGUCGUUAAAGCGUGGAGCUUAACUCCAUUUAAGCGAUGGAAACUGCAAGACUAGAGUGUGGUAGGGGCAGAGGGAAUUCCCGGUGUAGCGGUGAAAUGCGUAGAUAUCGGGAAGAACACCAGUGGCGAAGGCGCUCUGCUGGGCCAUAACUGACGCUCAUGGACGAGAGCCAGGGGAGCGAAAGGGAUUAGAUACCCCAGUAGUC
rnacentral:rRNA from 1 species